AAAAACAACUUGAAAUGAGUUGUAUUUACAAGUUAAGUGUAUUUGCAAAAUGAGGUCAAAGUUGAAUUAAUGUUUAUUCACAAUGAGUAUUAACGAAAAGAGUUUGAAAAAUCAAAGGCAUAAGGCCUAGGUUUCUAGUUUGAAACAAAGUCAAGGUUUGCACAUAAAUGAGUUUGGCUUGGGUUGGAGUGGAGAGAAG
rnacentral:lncRNA from 1 species